rnacentral:rRNA from 1 species
AUACGGAGGGUGCAAGCGUUACUGGGAAUCACUGGGCGUAAAGCGCGCGCAGGCGGCUAUUUAAGUUGGAUGUGAAAGCCUACGGCUCAACCGUAGAACUGCAUCCAAAACUAUUUAGCUAGAGUGUGGGAGAGGAAGAUGGAAUUAGUUGUGUAGGGGUAAAAUCCGUAGAGAUAACUAGGAAUACCAAAAGCGAAGGCAAUCUUCUGGAACACUACUGACGCUGAGGCGCGAAAGCGUGGGGAGCAAACAGGAUUAGAAACCCUUGUAGUCC